rnacentral:lncRNA from 1 species
GCGCAGGCCCCGGGGUGGGGGUGGGGGGGGGGGGGUAACUGGUCCCAGUCCCGCCCCAGCCGGGGGGAGGUCGGACGGGCCUCCGCGCAGCCCAGAGAGUCGCUCUCCGGAGGGAGGAAAGGGCGCCUACCUCAGCUCGGCCGGGAGAACCGAACGCGCCCACCCAGGCCGAGGGCGAAGCGGUCGCUGAACUCAGUCUGCGGGAGGCGUGAGGCCUUCGGAGCGGCGGACUCACAAAGCGAACGAAGGCGCCUCUGGGGCGGAAGCAUUCAUACGCUGUUAAAAACACAAACUCUGAGGUGCCACAUUGAAAGUUAUUCACCUGGGAAGACAACCGGAGCCCUCGUUGGACCCUGUCACCCCCUGCACUGGAAUGGCCUUGUAGACACCACAAGUAUGUCUGUUCCUGCCAUCUGACAAUCUUACCUUUCUGAUUUUCAUAUCACCAGUACCCUACAAAGUUUUGGGUGUCUGAAGUGAGGAUCCGAUAAUGUUUGCUGAGAGAUGAAAAAAGAAAAAAAGUAAAUGAAUGAGUGAAUCAAUUGGGUGCUAAUGGUUCCGAUCAUUUCUAUUUUGGUGUGGGAGAGUAGGAGGAAAACGCAUCCCCUAAGGAGUGGACCACUAAAGGGUAAAAAGCUUCUAGAAUGAACAGUGGGUUAAAAAAAAAAAAAAGACACAUUUUGUAGUUUCAUAAUUUUCCCUGGCAUUAGCUACAAUAGGGACUAGUAGUUGAAGCAUUUUGUAGGAAUACCCUGUGUGUGCUUUGAUAAGGACUUUAAUGGCACCUGGUUAUAAAGGAUUUGUUAAUUAAGGCAUUGUUCUCACUUGAUAAGCUAAUGAGCAAGAAUGGCAGAGAAAUAUUGCAUUUCUUUUCUUUUGCCUUUUUGGAAGCAAUGCAUCAGUGUGAAUACUUUUGAGUGAAAUUCAGAAAUUUAUAUGUGGUCUUAUGCUAUCGAAACAAUACGUUCUCAGAAUUAAUUCCUCUUUGCUUAAUGGGGAAAUUUACCAUUAACAAAUAGUAAUGGUAUGUACUAAUUAUUAACAGUUUUAGAUAUAUACCUACACACGGGCAUUGCAUUAUCACCACGAUCAGCAAACCCUUAAGUGUUUUUCUUUAUUUCCUGUACCUUUUCCUCUUGAGCAGCUCCCGUUCUCUAUUCCAAGUCUGGUAAAAUAUCAAAGAUUCUUUAAAGUUUCCACUAAAAAAAAAGCCAAAAAGAUGGGGCGCCUGGGUGGCUCAGUUGGUUAAGCUUCCAACUCCUGAUUUUGGCACAGGUUAUGAUCUCACAGUUGGUGAGAUCAAGCUCCACGGGGGGCUCUGUGCUUAUGGGGCAGAGCCUGCUUGGGAUUCUCUCUCUCUCUCUCUCUCUCUCUCUCUCUCUCUCUCUGCCCCUCCCUUGCUCAUGCUCACUCUCUCUCUAUCUCUCAAAAUAAAAUAAAUAAACAUGAAUUUAAAAAUUCA